rnacentral:lncRNA from 1 species
CCAUCCCCUGGAUCCCCACAGGGCUGAUACAGCAUCGCUCUCCCAGGCUCCAGCAAGAUUGCAAUGACCUCUGGCCAAUCUUGGCUGCUGAUUUCUAACUUCUAACCAAAAGCAAGCCUGCAGUUUCAUUUCUGAGCUGGGAGCAACUGGACUGCAGAAGGUGGAAGAAAACAGGGACAGGUCUCAGGCACAAAAAUACAUAAUGAACUCCUCGUGGCAGCAUGAUAUGUACUGUAUGUAA